AUUGAACGCUGGCGGCAGGCUUAACACAUGCAAGUCGAGCGAGAGGCGGACGGGUGAGUAAUGUCUGGGAAUCUGCCUGAUGGCGGGGGAUAACUACUGGAAACGGUAGCUAAUACCGCAUACCAUCAGAUGUGCCCAGAUGGGAUUAGCUAGUAGGUGGGGUAAUGGCUCACCUAGGCGACGAUCCCUAGCUGGUCUGAGAGGAUGACCAGCCACACUGGACCUGGGACACGGUCCAGAUUCCUACGGGAGGCAGCAGUGGGGAAUAUUGCACAAUGGGCGCAAGCCUGAUGCAGCCAUGCCGCGUGUGUGAAGAAGGCCUUCGGGUUGUAAAGUACUUUCAGCGGGGAGGCGUUACCCGCAGAAGAAGCACCGGCUAACGCCGUGCCAGCCGCCGCGGUAAUAC
rnacentral:rRNA from 1 species